AGGUCGGUCAAUGUAAUUUUGUACUAGAAACUUCUCCAGUUCGCACAAUGUCAGCCUGUAGGCUCGCGAUCGCUCGCACCCGACCAUCCCGCUCGCUCGGCUCGCUCGCAAUUUUUUUCUAUUGCUCAGCUCGUUCGCAAAUUCGCAAAACGACGCCUGCUCGCUCGAAGUGCUCGCGAGCGCCGAGCGCUCGUGAGCCGAGCCGAGCAGCUCGGCUCGUGCAGGGCUCUACCGCCGGCCGACGCCAUAGUACUGCUGAGUCAUGGAUUGUGUAAUAGGCAGUGGCUUUUGCGAAAUGCACGCCGAACGCCGCAAUCCAGUAUAAAAGGCGGGUCUGUCUUGUUGGCAAACCAGUCAGUCUCCCAAAGUGAUCUCUCGUGACACAGUUCUGCUAGAUCUGCUAAUCGGUCUUCUUCUGCCAUUAUUUUGAUACUUGAGUUUUGUUCCUUUCUUUAACCAUGGAUCUCGAUGAACGUUGGGGCAUCUUUUUCUAAGUGAUACUACACCAAUCGCUCCUUCGUUCGAAUUUACUGCUGUUUAGUCUGACUUAACGAUCUGAAGAUGCCGAUCGAUCAAGAGAUGUGGGGGAUUUUUUUCUGAAGUUUUCACCUCCGUAAAACCAAUCCGAUAGAAAUGGACCUUGAAGAGAAGUGGGGGAUUUUCUUUUAACCUAUUCCUAUAGUUACCGCACCGGAACCAUGCCGCAUUCCGGAAUCUACAUAACCCUGACCAACCCCGGGCGGCCGUCGGGUCAUCAGGCCGGAAUAACACCACCCGGCCAAUUCCCUUAUUGCGAACCAGCAGCGACACCGGCAUUUUUAUACUAGGUGUGCUUAUGAAUGACGACGUCAUUUCCGACCUUUCCGCUUUUACAUUCGACGAUCAUGCUGCCAGCCACCAACACCGGCAAACCGCACUACUGCGAUCUGACCUUUGCUUUACCAAGCAAGAUUUGAUCGGAGUAGUCGGAAGCGGACCACCACCUGAAAGCCAUGCAGCGGCGUGAUAAUGCCAUCCGAUUCACCUUCGCUCACUUUAGCCUUGAUCUGAUAAUUAUUCGCCGGUUGGUACAAAGCCGAAAUUCCUGGUGAUGGGCCCGCUAUUGCCAAGGAAGAUUCCUCGGCUUGACUGACCACUUUUGUUGCCAAAGUCAGUGUAUUGUGUACUGUGUGUAACCCUUUGUUGAGCCGGUACAAUAGAUAUGCCACAAGCUAAACCAAAACGCACUAACCGCUGCUGUUGGUACUACGCUUAAUUUAUUUUGCUCUGCUGGUUUUAUAUACUGGAUGGCCGACGUUUAUUUAAGUUGCAAUAGUCAUUGUUUUUUCUGGUUCAGCCAUUCUGAUGCGAUAUGCGGCAAUAAAAGAAACCCGUUA